UCACUAAAUUAAAAAUGAAUCUUUAAUUUUUUAAUUUUUAAAAUGAAAGAUAAGAGAAAAUCAUAAGUACUUAAUUAUAUAUAUGGGUUGCUGCUGAGAAGAAAUGGAGGGAAGUGGAAGGUGUUUUCAUGUUCUCCCCACAACCAAAAGCGCUUCGUUUGAGCUACUCAACCUUUCUCUACCGUUACGAACAAGUUCGCUUUUUUAGGGUGGGUAAUUUUGUGGUUUGAAAAUUAUGUGUUGUAAGUGUAAAUUUGGGAUUAGAAAUGGGUUUUCUGUUAAAAUUUCAUUUUUUUUAAUUUUGGGGGUUUUGUUUCAAGCGAUCUCAUUCUUUUAAUCGGACUUUUGCCAAAGUUUAUUGCUGGGUUUUGGGUGCUUUUGAAUUUGGUGAAAUUUGUGAUUUUUCAGUGCUUCAAUGGUGUUUUGGAAUGAUUGGUAUUUUGGUGUCGAAUGCAACUAAUUAUGUGGAUCUUAAUUAGUAGAUAUCCAAGAGUGACAAAUGCAACUAAUUAUGUGGAUCUUAAUUUGGUGAUUCAUUUCCUUCACUCUGUGUGUCAGGAAAUGAGUUCAACCAUGGAUUCGUAUACGUUGAAGUCCACGUCCGAUUUGCCUGCUCUCUUUCUAUCAUCGUUUAUUUUUACAUAAUAUCCUUGCAAUUGGAGUUUUGUUACUGGUAUUAUUAAGGUUUUGUUCCUGAUAUUAUUUGGGUUUGGUGUUAGUGGGGAUGGCAGUGGCGCGCUAAGUUAGCCGUUCGUGGCUCACCGGAAAACCCUUGGUUGGGCUAUCAGGAGGGAACUCAUAAUGUAGUAGAUAUUUCUCAAUGCAGAGCUCAUCAUCCCAGUAUUAAUGCUGUUGGGGAGCUGCUUAAACAAGGUAUUACAGAACUACGAGUUGAGCCGUAUGAUGAAGAUGAGGGGACUGGUGAUUUGGUAUUACGGAAC